GAUGGUAUUACAUCAGAAUUUUAUAAAGCUUUUAUAGACAGUAUAUCUAAAUUUCUGCUAGCUGUACAUGAAAAGGCCAUUAACAAGGGAUUCUUAUCUUCAAUUAGACAGAGUGUCAUCACCCUAAUUCCUAAACCAAAAAGAUAUCUUAUUAUUAGAAAAUCGUUGACCUAUUUCAUUACUAAAAAAAGAGCAGUCCAAUGAUCCAAUUUUGAAUAUCAAAAUUCCUUUGAUAAUUUUUGUUCAGACAGGUCUCAAGAUGAUGUGAGCCAAAUUUGGUGAAGAUUGGACAAAAUCUGGAGGAGGAGUAGCAAAAAUGGCAGUUAGAUGUAAGCAUUUUUAGCAUAUUAUUGUAACUUUUGACCAGUAGGUGGCGAAAUUUGUUGCAUAGCCUCAGGUCAGCUCACUUCCUGUUUGGCAGCAUCACCAUUAGAUUCAUUGUCUCAUUACAGGCAAAUUGUUUGGAGUAAUCAAAAUUCUUUUGAUAAUGUUUGUGAGGCUUACUCUGAAGAUGAUGGGUGUCAAAUCUGGGGCCGGCUGCUUAAACACAGACAUUAUCUUAAGACUGAGUCUAAGAAUUAGUCUGAUCAACUAAAGUCACCAGGGACAGACUGUUGCAUAAAACAAGCUCAUGAUUGUCUUUAGUAAGACAGUCUAAUCUGCAUUGCUUUGUGGGUAAAAUAAGACACUGAACUUAAACACAAUAGCCUUCAUCACAGUUUUCCUUCAUUGAAAACAUUUGUUUAUUAGAGGAAUACAAUGCUGCCAAAUCAAUUUUAAUGAACAAAUUUUAGUGAUUACAAUGCAAAUAAUAAGAAAACACAAGACUUGGACCACAAUAACGGAGAAAGUUAAUUGUGUCAAUCCGUCGGUCACACAAACCGUCAAAGAUGUGCAGAAACGUUUUAAAAACAUGGUGCAAGAGGUAAAGAAGGAGAUAUUCAAGCGAAAAAAUCCAGCAACCGGAGGAGGACCAACUCCUAAAUUAAAAAGUACAACAGAAAUGAUCAUUGAAAUAUACGGUAAUGAAUCUCUGAUGUUUUGGGGAAUCCCCGGAGGGAGGGAGAGUGGAGUUUCCGGCAGGACGUUACCCACAGCAACGGAAGAUACAUUGCCUCACAUAGCCGUCACAUCAGCUCCACUUGGACAGUCUUUCACUCAAGAUGAAGAUGUGCCAGUGACAAGCCAGGACCAAACAGCACAAAGCGAAGAAGAUGAUUUGGACAACAGCAGCCAAGUGGAACCUGUGGGAAGUGGCUCAGACACUGAGACACAGAAAGACACUUCAAGCAAUAUAACCAUGAACCAUAUACUGGAAAAACAAUAUGAAGUAUUGACAUUGGAAGAGGCAAAACUAAAAUUAGAAACACAAAAACUAGAAUUAGAGAAAACUAAGCUGAAGUUGGAGCUACAGAACUUUGGACAUGAACUGCAGAUCUCAUUAACCAUUGUCCAAGAAUUAAUUAAUCAAUUAAUUGUAUUUAAUCAUUUCUGAGAUUUUCCUGUUGACUUUACUUGUUAUGUAGUUAAAUUAAAGCAAUGUUUGCUAUACGUCUACACAGAAUCUAAAUUAAUUUAGUUGUAUUUAAGUGAUUUGAAGAAUCACAUUUUUGUAUAUAUUGAUUUGGUGAAUAAAUUAUAUGUCAAGUACAUUUCAAAAUAGUCAUUCUUUCAGUUUUCUCAGUCAAAAAGAGAAAAUGUUUUCUAUAAUCAUUUGUCGAAUAUAACGCCUAGAUCCAUCUUAAUCUCCUGCCUCAGUGAUCUCCAAAGCUGGUUCUUCAAGCAUUUGGUCUUCCUCCCGGUCUGGGAGUGCCAGAUCUCUAUUAAAAGGAAAAUGAUCUUUAACUCAUAUCAUUUACAAUAAAAUCAUUGAGGAAAAUGUAGCUACAAGUUGAAAGUUGACAGUUAAAUUGUAUUUAUUACCUUGCUGUGUUGUGUAAAACAACGCACACACAGAUUAUGUUGCAGACCCUGUCUGGUUUCAUUUUGAACUCUCCAUGCAGACAAUGAAAUCUUCGUUCAGGAUUCCAAAAUACCUUUCAGUAACAUUCCAUGUUUUGGCAUGAGCUGUGUUGUACCAAGUUUGAGGCACACUGACUGGGUUCAAGAAGGGUGUGAGAAGCCAGGGUUUUAGUGGAUAACCA